rnacentral:rRNA from 1 species
UACGUAGGGUGCAAGCGUUGUCCGGAAUUAUUGGGCGUAAAGAGCUCGUAGGCGGUCUGUCGCGUCGGCUGUGAAAACCCGAGGCUCAACCUCGGGCCUGCAGUCGAUACGGGCAGACUAGAGUGUGGUAGGGGGAGACUGGAAUUCCUGGUGUAGCGGUGAAAUGCGCAGAUAUCAGGAGGGAACACCGGUGGCGAAGGC